ACUGCCUGAUGGAGGGGGAUAACUACUGGAAACGGUAGCUAAUACCGCAUAACGUCGCAAGACCAAAGGGGGGGGACCUUCGGGCCUCUUGCCAUCGGAUGUGCCCAGAUGGGAUUAGCUUGUUGGUGGGGUAACGGCUCACCAAGGCGACGAUCCCUAGCUGGUCUGAGAGGAUGACCAGCCACACUGGAACUGAGACACGGUCCAGACUCCUACGGGAGGCAGCAGUGGGGAAUAUUGCACAAUGGGCGCAAGCCUGAUGCAGCCAUGCCGCGUGUAUGAAGAAGGCCUUCGGGUUGUAAAGUACUUUCAGCGGGGAGGAAGGGAGUAAAGUUAAUACCUUUGCUCAUUGACGUUACCCGCAGAAGAAGCACCGGCUAACUCCGUGCCAGCAGCCGCGGUAAUACGGAGGGUGCAAGCGUUAAUCGGAAUUACUGGGCGUAAAGCGCACGCAGGCGGUUUGUUAAGUCAGAUGUGAAAUCCCCGGGCUCAACCUGGGAACUGCAUCUGAUACUGGCAAGCUUGAGUCUCGUAGAGGGGGGUAGA
rnacentral:rRNA from 1 species